AUUGAACGCUGGCGGCAGGCCUAACACAUGCAAGUCGAGCGGAUGAAGGGAGCUUGCUCCUGGUUUCAGCGGCGGACGGGUGAGUAAUGCCUAUGAAUCUGCCUGGUAGUGGGGGAUAACGUCCGGAAACGGGCGCUAAUACCGCAUACGUCCUGAGGGAGAAAGUGGGGGAUCUUCGGACCUCACGCUAUCAGAUGAGCCUAGGUCGGAUUAGCUAGUUGGUGGGGUAAAGGCCUACCAAGGCGACGAUCCGUAACUGGUCUGAGAGGAUGAUCAGUCACACUGGAAGUGAGACACGGUCCAGACUCCUACGGGAGGCAGCAGUGGGGAAUAUUGGACAAUGGGCGAAAGCAUGAUCCAGCCAGGCCGCGUGUGUGAAGAAGGUCUUCGGAUUGUAAAGCACUUUAAGUUGGGAGGAAGGGCAGUAAGUUAAUACCUUGCUGUAUUGACGUUACCAACAGAAUAAGCACCGGCUAACUUCGUG
rnacentral:rRNA from 1 species